rnacentral:rRNA from 1 species
GAACUGAAGAGUUUGAUCCUGGCUCAGAUUGAACGCUGGCGGCAUGCCUUACACAUGCAAGUCGAACGGUAACGCGGGGCAACCUGGCGACGAGUGGCGAACGGGUGAGUAAUAUAUCGGAACGUGCCCAGUAGUGGGGGAUAGCCCGGCGAAAGCCGGAUUAAUACCGCAUACGACCUAAGGGUGAAAGCGGGGGAUCGCAAGACCUCGCGCUAUUGGAGCGGCCGAUAUCAGAUUAGGUAGUUGGUGGGGUAAA